ACUCUCGGCAAUGGAUAUCUUGGCUCUCGCAUCGAUGAAGAACGUUGCGAAAUGCGAUACUUGGUGUGAAUUGCAGAAUCCCAUGAACCAUCGAGUUUUUUAAUGCAAGUUGCGCCGAAAGCCACUAGGCUGAGGGCACGUCUGCCUGGGCGUCACGCACAGCGUCGCGCUCAACACAUGUAAUGUUUUCAUUUUGAUGAGCGAAAGUUGGUCCCCCCGAGCUAUCUUAGCUUGGAAUGCCUAAAUGAUGGCCUCGAGGGAUGGGUAUCACGAUCUAUGGUAGUUUAGAACCCCUUUCAUUUUAGACCGACGUCGUGUUUCCCUCGUUGACCGCUCGAGCUAUACAAAACUUUGUGUGUUUCAUCUAACACUCACCUUGCAACCCCAGGUCAGGCAGGACUACCCGCUGAGCUAAAACAUAUCAAUAAGCGGAAGAGAAGAAACUUACAAUGAUUCCCCUAGUAACAGCGAGCGAACCUGGAUCAGCCCAGCUCGAGAAUCGGGCGGCUUUGUCGUCCGAAUUGUAGUCUGUAGAAGCGUCCUCAGCGACGGACCGGUUCCAAGUCCCCUGGAAGGGGGCGUCAGAAAGGGUGAGAGCCCCAUCAUGUCCAGACCCUGUCACACCAUAAGGCGUUUCGGCGAGUCGGGUUGUUUGGGAAUGCAGCCUUAAUUGAGCUGUAAAUUUUGUCCAAGGCUAAAUACUGGCGAGAAACUGAUAGAGAACAAGUACCGCGAGGGAAAGAUGAAAAGGACUUUGAAAAGAGAGUCAAAGAGUGCUUGAAAUUGUCGGGAGGGAAGCAGAUGGGGGCUGGCAAUGCGCCUAGGUCGGAUGCGAAACGGUGUGAGCCGGUUUGUCGCUCGACUCUAGACGUGGACCAAUGUGGAUUAUGAUGGUGGCCCAAGCCUAAGCCGUGUACGUGUUUGUGGAUACGUCAUCGUCAUUAUUAGGGUGGGCAGUAUGCGCCUUCGGCAUGCUUAUGACAACUGCGCGCUCCCGGCAUCGUUCUGUGGGCUCUCAUCAUUCAACCCGACUCGAAACACGAACCAAGGAGUCUGACAUGUGUGUGAGUCAACUGGUAAGUAAACCCGUAAGGCGCAAGGAAGCUGAUUAGUGGGAUCCCCUUGUGGGUUGCACCGCCAACCGACCUAGACCUAUUGAGAAGGAUUCGAGUGUGAACAUACCUGUUGGGACCCGAAAGAUGGUGAACUAUGCCUGAGAGGGGUGAAGCCAGAGGAAACUCUGGUGUUGGCCCGCAACAAUACUGACGUGCAAAUCAUUCAUAUGACUUGGGUAUAGGGGCGAAAGACUAAUCGACCCAUGUAGUAGCUGGUCCCCUCCGAAGUUUCCCUCAGGAUAGCUGGAGCUCGAGCGCGAGUUCUAUCAGGUAAAGCCAAUGAUUAGAGACAUCGGAGGCAAAAUGCCCUCGACCUAUUCUCAAACUUUAAAUAGGUAGGAUGUUGCGGAUGCUUUGUUGAAUCGUACCAUGGAAUCGAGAGCUCCAAGUAGGCAAUUUUUUUGUAAGCAGAGCUAGCGAUGCAUGAUGAACCGGAAGCCGGGUUACGGUGCCCAACUACGCGCCCCACAAAGGGACAGCAGGACGGUUGUCAUGGAAUUCGAAAUCCGCUAAGGAAUGUGUAACAACUCACCAGACGAAUCAACUAGCCCCGAAAAUGGAUGACGCUUAAUGUCACAACUAUCUUCUUGUCUUGCCAAGUGAGGUUAGCAAGUGUAAAUAAUGUAGAGUAUUCCACAUUGUUCUAGAGAGUUUUCCAGUACCUUCCAUAAAUUCCAUAAGAUUCUUGUCCUUAGAUAUUUCUAAGGAAAUGUGUAGAAGUUCAUUGUAGACCGUUAGAUCAAAUUGAUCACCACCGUCCUUUUAGGAGGUCGAGUUGUAUAAAUAGGCUAAGGCCUCAUUUGUUGUAGUCACCUUAGAGAAUUCAAACAAUACACGUUCUAAUUUUCUUAAGCUCUCUUGUGUGUUCUUAGCUUGCUUAGUUUUCCAUAGUCUAAGUAAGUCUUUCGUGGGCAAGGCUGACUAGCUUUCUUUGAUACGUCAGGGCAAAGUUUGCUAGUGCCACACGGGAAGUACUUGAGAAAAUAAAGCCCAUGACAGUUGGUAUCGGAGCAAGGUUUGGCAAGGUUGGUGAAAUCAUUCUACACAAGAGAAUGUCGUCGAAGGUCAACGACCCAUCAAUUGGCAACAACGACAAAGGUGGGAAAGUUCGCAAGGACAAGUCGAAGGACAUGAUCGCUGCGAUGGAUGAAAGGUUGACUAAGUUGAGUGCCACCAUGUCCGAUUUGAGGGAGAAAUUCGAAGACAUGGACCAACGCAUCGAGAGGCAAGCGUCCAAUGGGGAGGACCAAGAGCUCCGGGAAGAGAUGAAAGGAGCCUUAAAUGCAGUAAUGGACAUGGUGUCCAAAAAGAUCGAGUCCCUUGAAGCCCAAAUUGUUGCCAAAGAUGCGUAGAUGUGUGCUUAUAGGGAAAGAGUUGAGAAGCUAGAAACUCAACUCAAUGUGUGUAUGGUUGUGGUAGCCAAUGGUAGGACUACACAAGAGACAAUCACCCACAUAGUCGCAGCUCCCAAACCUAAGGCCUAUGGUGGGGCAAGGAGUGCAAGGGAGAUCAACAACUUCUUGUGGAACAUGAAGCGCUACUAUAAUGCGGCUGGCAUAAUAGAUGAAGCAUCAAAUGUACGUAGUGUCUCCUUAUAUUUAAAUGAUGUUGCUACAGUUUGGUGGCGCAGAAGGUCCGAUGAUGUCAAGAAGGGAUUGUGAACCAUCGACACUUGGGAAGAAUUCUCGAAGGAACUCAAUAGACAAUUCUACCCAGAGGAUGCCGAAAACGAAGCUAGGGCCAAGCUUCGCCGCCUUCAACACAACGAAGCCCACAUAAGGGAGUAUGUGAAAAAGUUCUUGGAGUUUCUCUUGU
rnacentral:rRNA from 1 species